rnacentral:rRNA from 1 species
CCCUAUGGGGCGCAUGGUGGCAAGAGCGGUCCUGGGGGUAAAGCCACGCACCCGCAUGGACCGUUGCAUCCGUGUCAUUUCCUGCUGAAAGACGAACAGAUAGCGGUGGCAGAGCAGGACCAUUUGUCCAAGAGCAGGCGGAAGGCCGAGAGCGGUAAAUCCUUGGAGUGUCUGAGAGAGCGAAGAGGUGGCGAACAUCGGCUCCAUCAGCAGGGCAACGCUGCAGGCCUUGAGGAUAAUGGUCAGAGCAAGGAAUAUACCGGCGAGGCGGGAGAGC